CGUGCACUGGUGGGGUCCCUCGGCCUGGCCUGCACCCUCUUGCAAUCCAGGACUCCUCGGGGAAUGUCGGAGAGCUUUUUUCUACCUGAUCCUGCAGGCCAGGCAGAGGGACCCCACUAGUGCACA
rfam:Myotis lucifugus cont2.57427, whole genome shotgun sequence.